rnacentral:rRNA from 1 species
AAAAGAAACUAACUAGGAUUCCCUCAGUAACGGCGAGUGAAGCGGGACUAGCUCAGGAUGUGAAUCUGCGCUUUUAUGGCGCCGAAUUGUGGUCUGUAGACUUUGACAUUAUCUGCCGGGCCAAGUUCCUUGGAAAAGGACAGCUGAGAGGGUGAGACUCCCGUCCGCCUGGUGGAGUGAGUCAUUUGUCAACGAGUCGAGUUGUUUGGGAUUGCAGCUCUAAUUUGGUGGUAAAUUCCAUCUAAAGCUAAAUAUUGGUGGGAGACCGAUAGCGUACAAGUACCGUGAGGGAAAGAUGCAAAGAACUUUGAAAAGAGAGUUAAAGAGUACCUGAAACUGCUGAAACGGAAGCGAAGGAAACCAGUGUUUGUUGGUUCAUAUUUCCCCGGCCACUUGUGGUUUGGGCGCUGUGAGCUUGCGUGAGUUUGGGUUGGUUGAAUCCUUUGGAAGAGCGCAGUCAGAGUUGAUGUCUGUUGCUAGCACUGGAUUUGACUGAUGCAGACGAAAUGGUUUUCUU